rnacentral:rRNA from 1 species
ACGAACGCUGGCGGCAGGCUUAACACAUGCAAGUCGAACGCUCGUAGCAAUACGGGAGUGGCAGACGGGUGAGUAACGCGUGGGAACAUGCCCUUUGGUUCGGAACAACUCCGGGAAACUGGAGCUAAAACCGGAUAAGCCCUACGGGGGAAAGAUUUAUCGCCGAAGGAUUGGCCCGCGUCUGAUUAGCUAGUUGGUAGGGUAAUGGCCUACCAAGGCGACGAUCAGUAGCUGGUCUGAGAGGAUGAUCAGCCACACUGGGACUGAGACACGGCCCAGACUCCUACGGGAGGCAGCAGUGGGGAAUAUUGGACAAUGGGCGCAAGCCUGAUCCAGCCAUGCCGCGUGAGUGAUGAAGGCCUUAGGGUUGUAAAGCUCUUUCGCGCGCGACGAUAAUGACGGUAGCGUGAGAAGAAGCCCCGGCUAACUUCGU